rfam:Flavobacteriaceae bacterium TMED145 58178, whole genome shotgun sequence.
GGGGUCGACUGGUUUUGACAGCAAGUCAAAGUUAGUAUUAAGCAUGUCGCGCAUUAAAAUAGUACGCGUUAUAAUCUAUUUUAAACUUUAAACGGCGAAAAUAAAUACGCUUUAGCUGCAUAAUCUGAAUUAUAGUAGGGUUAGCCUAGUUCCACAAGGUGGAAAAGCUAAAUGUUUCUUGAAAGCCUUUGUUAACGGCGUUCUGUUAGAAACAUCGUAAAUGUUAACAUAGAAAAUAUGGGUUUCGACAUAUUUUCGAAAUAAAGAAACUAAGUGAUAUAUAGAUUGUUUUUAGUCAGUAUAUCAUCGAAAAUUAAUUAAAAACUAAACAUGUAGAAAUUUAUUAGUUUUCUUGUUUGGACCCGAGUUCGAUUCUCGGCGACUCCACCA